rnacentral:rRNA from 1 species
CCCUUAGAUGUUCUGGGCUGCACGCGUGCUACAAUGGCGUUUCCAGCAAGUCUGCGAACCCGAGAGGGCCAGCGGAUCUUCGAAUUGGCGUCGUGAUCGGGACAGUCGAUUGCAAUUAUUUGACUCAAACGAGGAAUUCCUUGUAAUCGCGAUUCAUCAUAUCGCGCUGAAUACGUCCCUGCCCUUUGUACACACCGCCCGUCGCUCCUACCGAUUGAGCGAUCCAGUAAAUGUUUUGGAUUGGUGCCGGGGCGGCUAGCUGCCGGUCGCUACGAAAUUUUGUGAACCUUAUCGCUUAGAGGAAGGAAAAGUCGUAACA